GUGCCUUUUGGCAGCACAUAAACUAAAAUUGGAACCAUACACAGAAGAGUAGCAUGACCCCUUGCAAGGAUGACAUGCAAAUUUAUGAAUGUUACGUAUAUAUU